rnacentral:rRNA from 1 species
AGCGAACGCUGGCGGCAUGCCUAACACAUGCAAGUCGAACGAGACCUUCGGGUCUAGUGGCGCACGGGUGCGUAACGCGUGGGGACCUGCCCUUAGGUUCGGAAUAACUCCCCGAAAGGGGUGCUAAUACCGGAUAAUGUCUUCGGACCAAAGAUUUAUCGACUUUGGAUGGGCCCGCGUUGGAUUAGCUAGUUGGUAGGGUAAAAGCCUACCAAGGCGACGAUCCGUAGCUGGUCUGAGAGGAUGAUCAGCCACACUGGGACUGAGACACGGCCCAGACUCCUACGGGAGGCAGCAGUGGGGAAUAUUGGACAAUGGGCGAGAGCCUGAUCCAGCAAUGCCGCGUGAGUGAUGAAGGCCUUAGGGUUGUAAAGCUCUUUUACCCGGGAUGAUAAUGACAGUACCGGGAGAAUAAGCUCCGGCUAACUCCGUG